AGACGUCUACAUUAGAUACCCCGGUAGUCCCAGCCGUAAACUAUGCGCGUUAGGUGUAUCGGUGACCACGAGUCACCGAGGUGCCGAAGGGAAACCGUGAAACGUGCUGCCUGGGAAGUACGGUCGCAAGGCUGAAACUUAAAGGAAUUGGCGGGGAGCACCACAACGGGUGGAGCCUGCGGUUUAAUUGGACUCAACGCCGGGAAGCUCACCGGAUAGGACAGCAGAAUGAUUGCCGGGCUGAAGACCCUGCAUGACUAGCUG
rnacentral:rRNA from 1 species